CGCUAGCUACAGGCUUAACACAUGCAAGUCGAGGGGCAGCAUGGUCUUAGCUCGCUAAGGCCGAUGGCGACCGGCGCACGGGUGAGUAACACGUAUCCAACCUGCCGUCUACUCUUGGACAGCCUUCUGAAAGGAAGAUUAAUACAAGAUGGCAUCAUGAGUCCGCAUGUUCACAUGAUUAAAGGUAUUCCGGUAGACGAUGGGGAUGCGUUCCAUUAGAUAGUAGGCGGGGUAACGGCCCACCUAGUCUUCGAUGGAUAGGGGUUCUGAGAGGAAGGUCCCCCACAUUGGAACUGAGACACGGCCCAAACUCCUACGGGAGGCAGCAGUGAGGAAUAUUGGUCAAUGGGCGAGAGCCUGAACCAGCCAAGUAGCGUGAAGGAUGACUGCCCUAUGGGUUGUAAACUUCUUUUAUAAAGGAAUAAAGUCGGGUAUGCAUACCCGUUUGCAUGUACUUUAUGAAUAAGGAUCGGCUAACUCCGUGCCAGCAGCCGCGGUAAUACGGAGGAUCCGAGCGUUAUCCGGAUUUAUUGGGUUUAAAGGGAGCGUAGAUGGAUGUUUAAGUCAGUUGUGAAAGUUUGCGGCUCAACCGUAAAAUUGCAGUUGAUACUGGAUAUCUUGAGUGCAGUUGAGGCAGGCGGAAUUCGUGGUGUAGCGGUGAAAUGCUUAGAUAUCACGAAGAACUCCGAUUGCGAAGGCAGCCUGCUAAGCUGCAACUGACAUUGAGGCUCGAAAGUGUGGGUAUCAAACAGGAUUAGAUACCCUGGUAGUCCACACGGUAAACGAUGAAUACUCGCUGUUUGCGAUAUACAGCAAGCGGCCAAGCGAAAGCGUUAAGUAUUCCACCUGGGGAGUACGCCGGCAACGGUGAAACUCAAAGGAAUUGACGGGGGCCCGCACAAGCGGAGGAACAUGUGGUUUAAUUCGAUGAUACGCGAGGAACCUUACCCGGGCUUAAAUUGCAGAUGAAUUACGGUGAAAGCCGUAAGCCGCAAGGCAUCUGUGAAGGUGCUGCAUGGUUGUCGUCAGCUCGUGCCGUGAGGUGUCGGCUUAAGUGCCAUAACGAGCGCAACCCUUGUUGUCAGUUACUAACAGGUUCUGCUGAGGACUCUGACAAGACUGCCAUCGUAAGAUGUGAGGAAGGUGGGGAUGACGUCAAAUCAGCACGGCCCUUACGUCCGGGGCUACACACGUGUUACAAUGGGGGGUACAGAGGGCCGCUACCACGCGAGUGGAUGCCAAUCCCCAAAACCUCUCUCAGUUCGGACUGGAGUCUGCAACCCGACUCCACGAAGCUGGAUUCGCUAGUAAUCGCGCAUCAGCCACGGCGCGGUGAAUACGUUCCCGGGCCUUGUACACACCGCCCGUCAAGCCAUGGGAGCCGGGGGUACCUGAAGUGCGUAACCGCGAGGAGCGCCCUAGGGUAAAACUGGUGAA
rnacentral:rRNA from 1 species